rnacentral:rRNA from 1 species
UACGUAGGGUGCGAGCGUUAAUCGGAAUUACUGGGCGUAAAGCGUGCGCAGGCGGUUCGCCAAGUCAGGUGUGAAAUCCCCGGGCUUAACCUGGGAAUUGCGCUUGAAACUAGCGGGCUUGAGUGUGGCAGAGGGGGGUGGAAUUCCACGUGUAGCAGUGAAAUGCGUAGAGAUGUGGAGGAACACCGAUGGCGAAGGCAGCCCCCUGGGUCAACGCUGACGCUCAUGCACGAAAGCGUGGGGAGCAAACAGG